rnacentral:lncRNA from 1 species
GGCGGUCACAUACUGAGUGCAUGCCCUCUUUCCACCUCCCACCAGAGCACCCUCUGUGCCAAGGCAAUAUUGCAGUAGUGCUGCAUGGAAUUCGUCCAGCACACUAUGAACAGAAACUGCCUUUUGAUUUCUUCUUUUAUCUUGCAGACUUUUCAUGUUUUCUCCAGAAACAGAGGACCCCAGCUCAUCAGGGCAUUCUUGGGAUGCCAAGACUCAAGACCCCAUGUGGUCGCCUAUCUCCUUCCUCUGCUCCCUGGUUUCACCUGCGUCUCACACAAAACCAGAAACGCCUCAAGCAGAAACAGAGUCUGUGACCGAAUCAUCAAUUCUGGUUUUUUUUUGUUGGUUUUUUUUUUUUCCUCUUGGAACAGAUUCGGGAGGAAUCUAAGUAUCAUUGUAAAAUUCACAAAAUGCCAAAUCCACUGAGUGAGCAACAGAUGAGGGAAAUUGCUCCACAUCCCGUGGAGAGGAAAUGAACGGGACUGGGGAGGAAGAAUGUGCUGCGUGGUGGGAACACUGUUUUGAUUCCUGAUGCUGCACAUCUGCCACGUUUCUGCACAGAGCUACCAGCCCGGGCAGACACUGAGGACCCUCCUCGCGCACUGGAGCUGUGGCCUCGGCAGCUGUGGGAAUGCGGACAGGAAGCAGGGGACCCUGGAGGCGAGAGGAGGAGGACAUCCUGCGGGGAUAGAUAAAAAAUAACGGCCGGGCUGUGGGAACCUCUUCCGAGCAAACAUGUGAGCCCAGGAAUUUCCUGAGCCAGAGAUCUGACUCCGGUUAUUUGUUGUAACUGAUUAUUUGUUUUCCUGGAGAUUUUGCAUAAUUUUGACAAAGGGAAAGAAGAUAUAAAGCCAAGACAUGCAUGACUGCCCUUCUGAAGCCUCUGCUCACAGAGCAGAGGGAUAGGAGGCUGUGAUUCAGAUUAUGGGGCCUGCAGGCUGGGGAGGGCGACCCUGCAGGGGCCCAGGAGCAGGCAGAGUGUGCCCCACAGACCCCUCCCUGGGGCAGAGGGACAGCAGAUUACUGGGCCCGAGACGCAUUAGGUGGCACAUGCUGGUUCCCUCUGUCCAGCGAGCCUCUCCCCCAGCAUCAUCCAGCCCUGGGCCUCCAGCAGGCAGAGGAGAUCAUGACCAGGAAGCAAUUCAUCACCAUCCAAGGCCUUAGCAGACUCUGGCUUUCCUUUGAAUUUCCAAGAAAACUGCUCCAUAAUUUUUAUCAAGACUUAUCAUUUGCCCAUCUCACCCUACACACUAGAAUUUUAAGCGAUGAAGUACAUGUGGAGACUUACUUUGUAGUCUUUUAAGAUAAUGACCAAAUGAACAUUUCUGGCCUCACUCAGCAUCUGCUCUGACACGGGUUUAAGGGGCUGCCGCGGCCAGGAAGAGGUGGGCCUGGUCCUGUCGGUGGAUGCGCAUUCUGCUUCCCUUAGGCGGGGCUGGGCAUGCUGGGACCUCCCCUGUGAGGGGACAGCGGAACUCGCAGGGCAGACCCAUGUCCCUGGUGUCUUCCUUCUGAUGGGCCUUCCCCUCAUGUCGGGAUCCACCUUACAGGGCAUCUGGCCUGGUGUCUGCACAUAGUGAAACAUGGCUGAGUGUCCCUUGCAUUAAAUGCAUGUCCUUGGGAUCGCGGUUUCCCUCUCCUCUCCCUUGUCUUUCCCAAGAAACCCUCCACCCUGACGACACCCCACUAAUAUCUCCAUGUGGCCAAUUCCUCACAGGGUCAAAUAUGCUGGGCCACCCCCUCUGAGGCCGCAGCUGCAUCUCAGGUUUGCAUUCUCACCACGGCCGUUCUACUGAUGGGAGCUUCAUUUCUAUUUGCUCGAGGUCCGCCCAACACAUUUCGCCCUGGAUCUCACUGGGUGGACGUGAACAUCCACCUGCACGACAGUAAAGGAAAAAGGACAAGAUGGAGUUGUGGGGGCAGGGGGUGGUUCUUCCCAUAAAAACACAGAAGCAUCACAAGAAUAAUAUUUGUUAAAAGCCUCCAGGAUUUGGUGCCGAACAUCUCUCAAGGCAUCUCCUGAUUUCCCAGAGCUGAUGGAAAUAUUCUGAAGGUAUUAAUAGAAUGCAGAUGUUGGAGAAUGCGACUUAGAAUCCUACUGAACAAAUGACCCUGUUGGGAGGCAGUUUGCAGUCUCCAGGGACAUUCCACAGAGGGCCCAGCUGAUUGUCUCAUAUUGAAACAGCAUGUCCCAGCAUUCCAGCUAGAAGAAGCGGAACAGGGCUCCUCCACCAGAUAUAAAUCACAAGGCAAAGGGCAACUGAACUCCUUCAGUCCUGCCCUCCCUCCUUCCUUGGUUCACCCUCCACCCCCUCCCCCGCUCCCGCCCCCCAAGGAAAACAAAGCUUGAGUAAGAGGCUGCCAAGCCAAGCCACGCAGGCGCCAGACGGCCGAGCGCGGCACACACGACGGCCGUUUGGGAGGCUCACAGCUUUCGGCACUGUGGCCCUGAUGUUUUUGCUUCACUGCAAUUUGUUUCUGAUCUCCAGUCAAGUCCUUACAACGCUGGGAUCCUCUAGAGAGUUUAUACUUUGACCUCGUGACAAUUAACACCAGAGGCCAAGAAAAAAAAAAAAAACUCGAUAAGAGAGAAACUCAAUUGGUG